GCACAAAUGGCUCAGCUGGAAAAAUUCCUAAACUAUUGUUAAAGGUGUCACUUACUUUAAAGCACUAAAAUGUUUGUAAAAGUGGUCAAACUUGAACAACCUCAUCCUUACAGGUAUGAAUAAAUUUAUAUACAAGGGUAUUUAACAUCCUUUCUUUUUUCCUUAGGGCCAGAGAGUGAGAUAGGGCAUCGAUUGCUUCCAGAAUGCAGUCUGUGAGCAGAGGGCAGCAGAUGAGCUCCAGGGGACACACAGUCACAGGACCAUUGCCUGGGGGAGCUCAGUGCAGGGGCUACUGCUGCUCCCCUGCAAUGGAGGGGAGGGCGUGACACCUGCUGCUUUGUUCCCUAGGAACACAAGACAGGUGUCCUUGGCACCUUCCCCUGGUACUUGGGCCUGGGCAUCUGCACCUGCUUGGUUAAUACCAUACAGAGCAGGGUUACCUGGAAUUUCCCGUCUGAUGGCUGUGUGCCUCCCAGGGACAGGAGAUAAAUGAAGGCAACCUGACACCUUCAGAUGUGGACUUGACUUGUGUUCACAUUUUUCCUUGGGGGUGACAGCUGCCAAUGAAUUUAACUUACACAUGAAACAGAGGAUCAAAAAAAAUUUGAAACACAAUUUUACUAACAGGGACAUCAGGACACAUUGGUCAUAAGCAAUAACAGAAAGUGAAUCUAAUUUGCAAGGUCCCAGGUCACCAAGUCCCAGUCAUGCAAUUCUUACUCUUUAACUUUUAAAUACAACUUAAGUUUAAAUUCUCCAAUUCAGAGACCGUAGAAAGUACACCAAAUUAAAUUGAAAUAUAAGUCAUUCAGGUGCAUUUUCUAGUCUGCAAUUGUGAAUAAAAAUAUAAGGGGACAAAAUAUGGCAUAAGACAACCUUAUGAAAGUUGACCCUAUUCUUAAAUCGUCUUUAAAAACCAUGCUUUCAUUGUUUGUUUUCUAAGGCAUGUGCUUUAUGGGCAGACACCUUAGAUUCUUUUGCACUUUCACCUCUAAUUAUCCUGUCCACUUAGAAGAUGAGAUCAAUAUAUACUGUUUUUAUUUUUUCUGACUGAAAAAUACAUAAAUCUCUCGUUUCUCUCAAGGGAGGAAAAUGAGAUGCAUAAAAGGGUUGCUGUAAUUUAGGGUGAAGGCUGUGAGUAAAUGGUAACAAGUUCAUGUGUUCCAGGUUCCACCCUGAAAAGCACGUUCGCAGGUGGACAGGAAUCUAGCAGACAAGUCCAGACUUCCCCAGGAGUGCAAGCCAGGGUCACCGCUGAGGACCAGGUGAGAGCGCAGGUUGCUGGAGCCUGAAGCAAGACGUCCGGAGCAGGUGGGGUGGGACGGGACUCGGCAGACCUGUGCGGAGCAGAGGAGAGGAAGCCACUGCACGGCCAGGGAGAGCUGGGGGCGGGGCGGGUGCAAGUCCCCUUCCUCUCCGUUGGUCUUUGCCCCUCUUUCAGCUCAGAGCCCACACACGGGGAAGGCGCUGAGCAGGGCGGAUGGGCCACGGAAAGUUCCUCCUGGAGCAACCUUCUUACCUCGUAGUGUCACCAGGGACCUUUGCUGCUUUUUCCCUCCCAAAGAGAAUUUAGGUGAUCAAAUAGGACCUCCGUGAUAAUCCCAAUGUUGUUUUAGACCAUGCUAAGCCAUCACUACAAGGCUUCCUAGUGUUCAUGUUCUUGUGGAAGAUAGGAAUGAAUUCCUGAGAAUGGAAGAAAUGAAGAAAUACUUAAGGAUGGGAGCCAGCGAGCUCAGACCCAGGCAGAGGGGUGUGUUCCAGCUGUCUGUGACUGUCUCAGGCCAAGCGUCCACAGGGCUGACUGCUACCCAUUCGGAGAGAGGACAGGCGCACACUUCAUUUAGACAGAGAAGCCUGUGGAGGAAACCUGGAAAUUACGCCUUUCAGGAAAAAGCAGUGUGGAGCUCCUGCGGGUGGCCUUCCAAAGAAACAGCCAAAAACUGUUCAGUGAAGUCUAGAUGUUCUACAAGAUACUAAACUGUACUACAGAAAAGAGAAUUUCAUGAAUGAACCCUAUGACAUAGGUACCAGGAAUCAAACUCACGAUCUUGCGCUUGCCAGGCAGGCGCUUUGCAGCAGGAGCUCUGACUUUGACAAUCUUCCCUGUGUGAUUUCCACAUUUUCCUGUGUGGCAGGACGCAUGCAGGGAAGGGAAGAACACGGUGAUGUGAGGAGCAGGUCUCUGGAACCUGACCCUCAGAUGCCGAGUGCCUCUGUGGUCCAGGCAGGAGCCUAGCCACGGGACCACAGCUCAUGUCUGUGACACCGGGCAGUGUGACCCAGCUAGAAGCAGAGGGUGACCAGUCACUGCUGUGGACUUCGGGAGCUGCAACUGCCUUGGUUAUUCCUGUGCUUCUUCAGACCUGGAAGUGAAUUUUUUCUUCCAUCUUUGGAAUCAAGAUUCACAGGAACGCUGAUGAUGAUGUUACUGUCAUACAGUUCAGUUGGACCCAUCAUUUUUCCUCUCAGUAGUACAUGAAAAAACUGAAUUUUCAACAUAUACUGUCAUAUUUUAAACCUUAAUAAUGUUCCAAAAAAGUUCAGUUAUUAGUGCCAGCAAAUAUUUUGUAAAUGUUAAUGUAGAAAUUAAAAAAUGUUAAUUUAAAAAUGUAAAUUAUGGUACCUAUAGAUAUAGAUAUACUGUAUAGGUUGUUUACUAUUUCUACCAUUUCUCAGAAGACAAGACAUUAAACGUAAGUGCUAAAAAGCCAUAAAUCAAUCCAUUGAAAACCUGAAUUAGGGAAAUACAGUACUAAGUAAUUCUAAGGAGUCAUGCUGUCAUGUAAAUACAUAGACUUUAAAGAACAUAUUUGAUUGUUCUAUGUUUCUUGAAAGCUACUUUUACAAUCUUUUGAAAAAUCAAAUAAGUUACAUUAUUGGAAAGGAUAUCAUGAAAUAAUAGCUCCUACAAAGGAUCUUGUUAAAAAUGGAUCAGUACUGAAAUCCUUACAAUUCAGUAAUCUUAAAUGCAGAGCUUGGACAACUCCACAUGGUGUAGAACUAAAUUUCCACAUGCAGAAAAUGAUAAUUCUUAUUUAGCCUGUUUCUAUGUUUAAUCUAUGGCUCUUGUUUUCACCCUUAGGUAGCCAUUUUUGAAAAAUAAAUUCUUAUAUGUCUACAUCUGCUGGUAAGAAUAUUUAUUAACAUUAAAUAUUCCCAAUUGUUACCAUAAAUAUUAGGAUAUAUUUAGUAAGGUGGGCUCCAGGCAGGAGGUGGAAAAAUAUUUGACCUCAUUCAUAAAAAAAAAAACUUUUUUUCUAACUACCAACAUCAAGACUAUAUCUACUAAUUGAGUACCCCCAAAUUUUCCUUCUUAAAAAAGUGAAGAAAGAAAAACAUUUCCUUUUUUAUCUAUGUUUAGGAAUUUUUCGUCCUCUGUGUUCUCUACAGAACACAUUCUUUAUCUUAACUCAGCACAUUUUAUGUAAUCUAGUCUACUUUAUGUAUAAAUAUUUAAAAGAAUCCCAGCAGUGUUAUUUACCUGAUAGCUCUAUGUAUUAAAAGUGAGUGUUGACUUUGAGUAUAAUUGAAGAUAGAAAGUAUUUACAACAUUACAUUAUGCUCUUUUCCUCAUGACAAAGACCAUUUGAACUUUAUGUUGAAAUAAAUAAGACUGAUUAGAAUUA